rnacentral:rRNA from 1 species
CUCCCAGACUCCUACGGGAGGCAGCAGUGGGGAAUAUUGCACAAUGGGCGCAAGCCUGAUGCAGCCAUGCCGCGUGUAUGAAGAAGGCCUUCGGGUUGUAAAGUACUUUCAGCGGGGAGGAAGGGGUUAAAGUUAAUAACCUUAGCCAUUGACGUUACCCGCAGAAGAAGCACCGGCUAACUCCGUGCCAGCAGCCGCGGUAAUACGGAGGGUGCAAGCGUUAAUCGGAAUUACUGGGCGUAAAGCGCACGCAGGCGGUCUGUCAAGUCGGAUGUGAAAUCCCCGGGCUCAACCUGGGAACUGCAUUCGAAACUGGCAGGCUGGAGUCUUGUAGAGGGGGGUAGAAUUCCAGGUGUAGCGGUGAAAUGCGUAGAGAUCUGGAGGAAUACCGGUGGCGAAGGCGGCCCCCUGGACAAAGACUGACGCUCAGGUGCGAAAGCGUGGGGAGCAAACAGGAUUAGAUACCCUUGUAACA